GACGAACGCUGGCGGCGUGCUUAAUACAUGCAAGUCGAGCGAAGAUACUUGGAAAGCUUGCUGAAAAGUAUCUUAGCGGCGGACGGGUGAGUAACUCGUGGGCAAUCUGCCUUCUAGUCCGGGAUAACAGCGCGAAAGAGCUGCUAACACCGGAUAUGCUCCUGGUAAGGCAUCUUACAAGGAGGAAAAGGAAUGCUAGAAGAUGAGCCCGCGUCCCAUUAGCUAGUUGGUGAGGUAACGGCUCACCAAGGCGACGAUGGGUAGCCGACCUGAGAGGGUGAACGGCCACACUGGGACUGAGACACGGCCCAGACUCCUACGGGAGGCAGCAGUAGGGAAUUUUCGGCAAUGGGCGCAAGCCUGACCGAGCAACGCCGCGUGAGGGAAGAAGGUCUUCGGGUCGUAAACCUUUGUCUUUGGGGAAGAUAAUGACGGUACCCAAGGAGGAAGCCACGGCUAACUACGUGCCAGCCGCCGCCGUAAGAC
rnacentral:rRNA from 1 species